UACGUAGGGGGCAAGCGUUGUCCGGAAUCAUUGGGCGUAAAGCGCGUGUAGGCGGCUUGGUCAGUCCGCUCUGAAAGCCCGGGGCUCAACCCCGGGAGGCGGGUGGAUACUGUCAAGCUCGAGUCCGGAAGAGGCGAGUGGAAUUCCUGGUGUAGCGGUGAGAUGCGCAGAUAUCAGGAGGAACACCAAUGGCGAAGGCAGCUCGCUGGGACGGUACUGACGCUAAGGCGCGAAAGCGUGGGGAGCGAACAGG
rnacentral:rRNA from 1 species